GGCCCCCUGAGAUUCAACGGUUCGGCUGAACUAUGUGGUUGGGCUGGUGAAGGGUUCGGGCGAUCCGUGGGCUUCACUUUAGAACUAAUUUUGCCUUUUCUGUCUUGAUGGCUUGGACAGGAAAGGCCCAGACAUCUGAAAGGAGGGAAAUCCCUAACAUACUCCCCUCAGCCCGAGUAAAGUAUAGUGGGCCACAGGAGUUUCGGAUAGGCGUAGCGUGCCUUGUACACCUUCCUCCUGAUAAGCCAUUUUUAAGUCCCUGCU